GGACAUAGAUACAAGCUAGCGGCGGAUGGGUGAGUAACGCGUGGGUAACCUGCCCUUAAGUCUGGGAUACCAUUUGGAAACAGAUGCUAAUACCGGAUAAAAGCUACUUUCGCAUGAAAGAAGUUUAAAAGGCGGCGUAAGCUGUCGCUAAAGGAUGGACCUGCGAUGCAUUAGCUAGUUGGUAAGGUAACGGCUUACCAAGGCGAUGAUGCAUAGCCGAGUUGAGAGACUGAUCGGCCACAUUGGGACUGAGACACGGCCCAAACUCCUACGGGAGGCAGCAGUAGGGAAUCUUCCACAAUGGACGCAAGUCUGAUGGAGCAACGCCGCGUGAGUGAAGAAGGUUUUCGGAUCGUAAAGCUCUGUUGUUGGUGAAGAAGGAUAGAGGUAGUAACUGGCCUUUAUUUGACGGUAAUCAACCAGAAAGUCACGGCUAACUACGUGCCAGCAGCCGCGGUAAUACGUAGGUGGCAAGCGUUGUCCGGAUUUAUUGGGCGUAAAGCGAGCGCAGGCGGAUUGAUAAGUCUGAUGUGAAAGCCUUCGGCUCAACCGAAGAACUGCAUCAGAAACUGUCAAUCUUGAGUGCAGAAGAGGAGAGUGGAACUCCAUGUGUAGCGGUGGAAUGCGUAGAUAUAUGGAAGAACACCAGUGGCGAAGGCGGCUCUCUGGUCUGUAACUGACGCUGAGGCUCGAAAGCAUGGGUAGCGAACAGGAUUAGAUACC
rnacentral:rRNA from 1 species